rnacentral:rRNA from 1 species
CACGUAGGGCGCAAGCGUUGUCCGGAAUUAUUGGGCGUAAAGAGCUCGUAGGCGGUCUGUUGCGUCCGCUGUGAAAACUCGGGGCUUAACCCCGAGCCUGCAGUGGAUACGGGCAGACUAGAGGUAGGUAGGGGAGAAUGGAAUUCCCGGUGCAGCGGUGAAAUGCGCAGAUAUCGGGAGGAACACCGGUGGCGAAGGCGGUUCUCUGGGCCUUACCUGACGCUGAGGAGCGAAAGCGUGGGGAGCGAACAGG